rnacentral:rRNA from 1 species
UGGGGAAUUUUGGACAAUGGGCGAAAGCCUGAUCCAGCAAUGCCGCGUGUGUGAAGAAGGCCUUCGGGUUGUAAAGCACUUUUGUCCGGAAAGAAAUCCUCUGGGUUAAUACCUCGGGGGGAUGACGGUACCGGAAGAAUAAGCACCGGCUAACUACGUGCCAGCAGCCGCGGUAAUACGUAGGGUGCAAGCGUUAAUCGGAAUUACUGGGCGUAAAGCGUGCGCAGGCGGUUUUGUAAGACGGAUGUGAAAUCCCCGGGCUUAACCUGGGAACUGCAUUCGUGACUGCAAGGCUAGAGUAUGGCAGAGGGGGGUAGAAUUCCACGUGUAGCAGUGAAAUGCGUAGAGAUGUGGAGGAAUACCGAUGGCGAAGGCAGCCCCCUGGGCCAAUACUGACGCUCAUGCACGAAAGCGUGGGGAGCAAAACAGGAUUAGAUACCCUGGUAGUCCACGCCCUAAACGAUGUCAACUAGUUGUUGGGGAUUCAUUUCCUUAGUAACGUAGCUAACGCGUGAAGUUGACCGCCUGGGGAGUACGGUCGCAAGAUUAAAACUCAAAUGAAUUGACGGGGUCAUAGCUG